rnacentral:lncRNA from 1 species
ACGGGACACCUGCAUCUGCCAACAAGACUGGAAGCAGGUGAGGCACACAGAGGGGGAGGCCCGCAGCUGCGUGGGAGGAGGGGUGGUCUGAGGGACGUGGGAUGCCGGGAAUGAGGCUGGUUUGCAGGUUGGCGCAUGGACAUUUUCCCAGAAAGGGACAGAGACGGCGAAGUUUGACGGUCUGGAAAGCAGAGACCAGCAGGGCUGACUGCUUGGGAGCACCAAAUAUCCGGACAGCGCCUCUCGGGAGGUCCGAGAAGAGAACCGCGAUCUGUUUCAGCACCGGGGCUCAGGACAGUUCCCAGCGGGCUCCGUUUCGUCUCCAGAACCCUGGACAGCUCCUCCAGCUUGGAAUGCACUCCCUCCACCUCCAACCAGAGCUCCCCACAACUGACCCUGCCUUCUUCUGCAAGCUCCAUUUCAUCAAGGGAAACGAUCCUUAUUGCCUCACCAUUUCCCACGUGAAGUCUGUAUUGACAUUCUCAUAGACCUGGGAUAUUGUGUCUGCAGCACAUAGUCCAAUUAUUUUCAUGUUAUCUACUGACAGGUCUAUUUGUCUCCCUGUUACACUGUGAGCUCCGUGAGGGCAGAAACAAUGUUAGUAUUUUCACUGCUGUGUCCCCAGCGCCUGGUCCGGGGCCCGGCACACAGCAGGCAUAUAAUAAGCAUGUGUUGAAUCAAUAAAGGCAUCAAAGAAUAAACCAAUACAUCAAUCAAUAAAUGAAUGAAUGGCCUCAGC